CCUACGGGUGGCAGCAGUGAGGAAUAUUGGUCAAUGGCCGGAAGUCUGAACCAGCCAUGCCGCGUGCAGGAAGACGGCUCUAUGAGUUGUAAACUGCUUUUGUACAAGGGUAAACCUGAAUACGUGUAUUCAGCUGAAUGUACUGUACGAAUAAGGAUCGGCUAACUCCGUGCCAGCAGCCGCGGUAAUACGGAGGAUCCGAGCGUUAUCCGGAUUUAUUGGGUUUAAAGGGUGCGUAGGUGGAUUGAUAAGUUAGAGGUGAAAGGUUCGGGCUUAACUCGGGAAUUGCCGAUAAUACUGGUGGUCUUGAGAGUGGAUGCGGUAGGCGGAAUGUGUGGUGUAGCGGUGAAAUGCUUAGAGAUCAUACAGAACACCGAUUGCGAAGGCAGCUUACUAAUCUAUAUCUGACGUUGAGGCACGAAAGCGUGGGGAGCAAACAGGAUUAGAUACCCGGGUAGUC
rnacentral:rRNA from 1 species